UAAGUUUGAUCAGUUGAUAUAAAAAUAAGAGAUAUCAAAUCGAAUUUAGCUCUGUUCCUUUUGAUUUCACACUUUCUUAUUGACUUCAAUUCACAACUUCAAGAUGAACUCACGAAUCGCUAUUUUCUUGUUUUUCAUUUUUGCUACAUUAGCUAUUUCUGCUACGUUUGCUGAAAUUCAAGUGUUACACAGCUUAAGUGAAGUGGGUUUACCCCCUGCAACUGAAAGACGAGUCAAGGAUAUCAUACACGUGAUUCAAAUGGCAUAUGGAUAACUCUGAUUGUGCGUUAUGAAACAAGAAUCAAGAUAUGAAAACAAUAAAUGAAGUCGAUAAGAAGAUGUUCCACAAAUUGUAUAAUUAUACUAAACUUUAAUAAUUUGCUAAUAAAUUGAAUUUUGAUCUUUA